GGCAGAACAAUGAGGCCCUUGAAGCCUGGGAUCCUCGCUUCCUCCUGUUAUCCCGGAGCAGGCGAGGGAGGCUGCGCGGAGGGGACCCCGAGACCUACGCAGGGCCAGCGGUGGGGGAGGGCCCGGCCUGCAUGGUGUCGCCGAGCCGCCCCGGGGAAGCCCGGCAGCCAAAUCACAGGUUGGGAUCCGCCGUUGGUGCCGAGAACUCAGAGCCUCCAGGACCCUUUGCUCCUACUCAUGUACAGAUGAGGAAAUCGAUCUAGUGCUUUCCGUGGGUGGCCCAGACUUCCCAGUUAAUCUGUCUACACAACAACAUGAGUCAAAAGGCUGGAACACUCUUACUCCCAGUGACAAGCAAAGGCAGAGGAGACUUUGGAGGAUCCCCUUCUAGCUAGGUACUUCUGCAGAAACUUCCAGAUGAUUCCUGAAGAAUGUGGCUUGGUGAAAGACUGGUCAAAUUCACACUCUUCCGCAUGUCCGGGGCCAAUGGCAAGACACAAACAUUUUUGACCCUCAGCGUCUCCGUGGGAGCUGGCCCCAUGUGACCUGGACAUUGGUGGGAACGCUGGCUAGCCUGGUGUCUAUGCUUCUUUUUGUCCUGUACCAAAACCCUUCCAAACAAACAGAACAAACAAAACAACCCUCGGGUCUAUUAU